rnacentral:rRNA from 1 species
UACGUAGGGGGCAAGCGUUGUCCGGAUUUAUUGGGCGUAAAGAGCGUGUAGGCGGCUUGGUAGGUCCGCUGUGAAAACUCGAGGCUCAACCUCGAGAUGUCGGCGGAAACCACUUGGCUAGAGUCCGGAAGAGGAGAGUGGAAUUCCCGGUGUAGCGGUGAAAUGCGCAGAUAUCGGGAAGAACACCUAUGGCGAAGGCAGCUCUCUGGGACGGUACUGACGCUGAGGCACGAAAGCGUGGGGAGCAAACAGG